UGCUACCCUCCUCACACAGC
rnacentral:misc_RNA from 1 species